rnacentral:rRNA from 1 species
AGCAGCCGCGGUAAUUCCAGCUCCAAUAGCGUAUAUUAAAGUUGCUGCAGUUAAAAAGCUCGUAGUUGAAUUUCGGGACCAUCACGUCGGUCGUGCCUCGGUACGUACUGGCGUCGUUGGUUUCUCCCUUCUGACGAACCAUGAUGUCAUUUAUUUGGUGUCGUGGGGAAUCAGGACUGUUACUUUGAAAAAAUUAGAGUGUUUAAAGCAGGCUCACGCUUGAAUACAUUAGCAUGGAAUAAUGAAAUAGGACGUUUGAUUCUAUUUUGUUGGUUUCUAGGAUCGACGUAAUGAUUAAUAGGGAUAGUUGGGGGCAUUAGUAUUCAAUUGUCAGAGGUGAAAUUCUUGGAUUUAUUGAAGACUAACUACUGCGAAAGCAUUUGCCAAGGAUGUUUUCAUUAAUCAAGAACGAAAGUUAGGGGAUCGAAGACGAUCAGAUACCGUCGUAGUCUUAACCAUAAACUAUGCCGACUAGGGAUCGGGAUGAUGUUAAUUUUUAAUGACUCAUUCGGCGCCUUAC